CCUACGGGGGGCUGCAGUGAGGAAUAUUGGUCAAUGGGCGGAAGCCUGAACCAGCCAAGUAGCGUGAAGGAAGAAGGAUCUAUGGUUUGUAAACUUCUUUUAUAGGGGAAUAAAGGUAUCCACGUGUGGAUAUUUGCAUGUACCCUAUGAAUAAGCAUCGGCUAACUCCGGGCCAGCAGCCGCGGUAAUACGGAGGAUGCGAGCGUUAUCCGGAUUUAUUGGGUUUAAAGGGUGCGUAGGUUGUUUUGUAAGUCAGCGGUGAAAGUUUGUGGCUCAACCAUAAAAUUGCCGUUGAAACUGGAAGACUUGAGUGUGUUUGAGGUAGGCGGAAUGCGUGGUGUAGCGGUGAAAUGCAUAGAUAUAACGCAGAACUCCGAUUGCGAAGGCAGCUUACUAAGCCAUAACUGACACUGAGGCACGAAAGCGUGGGGAUCAAACAGGAUUAGAUACCCUAGUAGUC
rnacentral:rRNA from 1 species